GCAAUAAUAUCAUACAGUAACUAUCAUAAAUAAUUACCAUAAGGGAGACUCAAUCCAAAACAAAAAUCAUCUAUGGAUAGCCCUGCCAAGCCUCACCCAACCCCGGGUGAGGAGUACGAAACCGAACUGGUUCACAGAUAUAGAUGUCAUAUCCCUCACCCUCGCCUCGAUCCCCCGAUAGCCCUGCCAAGCCUCACCCAACCCCGGGUGAGGAGUACGAAAAACUCUAGGAGCCCCUAUCCUACAACUCUGAUACUAGAAUUCCAGACUUUCCUAUCAAAGGCCAUGUCCUCGGAAACCUGCAUUCUAGCUACGUCAUGCCUAAUCACCUCUCC
rnacentral:lncRNA from 1 species